rnacentral:lncRNA from 1 species
GCUGGGCGUGGUGGCACACGCCUUUAAUCCCAGCACUUGGGAGGCAGAGGCAGGUGGAUUUCUGAGUUCGAGGCCAGCCUGGCUACAAAGUGAGUUCCAGGACAGCCAGAGCUAUACAGAGAAACCCUGUCUCGAAAAACCAAAAAAAAAAAAAAGGGCAGAAAGGUGAUUAAAGAAAUGGUAAUAAAAAUGUGGGAAAAGAAGUAAAUAUAAAUUCUGGUUUUGAGUUAUUUAAGUAUACCCCACAAUUUAUAAAUUCUCAGAACUCUAUCACAGCCAUCAAAUACUUCUGUCACUAACUUUGAACUCUUGGCAUUAUCUUAAUUCAUCUCAGAUUUGGUUUUAAGCACAGCAAGGACUGAACAAAAUACAAUGUUUUCACUUAUUCUAGACAUUAGAAUUAGUGGAAUGGAGGCUGUGGAGGGUGUGGUUAUGGAGCCUAAGAAGUCACUUAAACUGCCUACUUCCUAUGUGACUCUUCUCAUUCACAAGAGACCACUUCUCAAUGUCAUGGCCACUCAAAACCAAAGUCUGUGAAAUAUCAACACGACGUACGCUCAGCAGGGAAAGCUACAUAGUACACUGAACACUGAAUUAGUGCGAAGACUCUUUACCCUAAAGGCCCUUUAGGUUUAUUUUUUCCUGCUGGUAACCUAGUUCAAACUUUAAUAACUGAUUUAGAGAGCUCCCACAGCCACCACCACCACCACCAAAAAAAAAAAAAAAAAAGCUAUGAAAGCAACUUAGGCAUCAUCAUUCAAUAGAUCCAUGAAGUUUGCAUUUUUUUCUCUCCCAAAGUUUUUCAGAAUUGAUUCUUCCUAGAAAUGGGACAAGCUGAGUUCGUCUUUCUAUUUAAACAGGUAUUGAAUGUGCAGGGGAAGAGAAGGACACAGAUACUAUUUCACCACAAAAACAAAAUAACAUUGGAGGGUGUGUGUGUGUGUGUGUGUGUGUGUGUGUGUGUAUGUGGUGUGGUGUGUGUGUGUGUGUUUGUUUUAAAGGGGGAGGGGUAUUAGAAUAGCUUCCAGGCUGUGGACUGGCUAGCCUAACAGUGGCUAUCUCCUGAUAGAAAUACCAAGAAUCCAGUAGAUGUUCAGUCCAGGAGAACGUCUCAUCUAGUCUUCAGUCUACAUUGGAAUCCCAAAGAAGUAGGUUCUAAUGCCAGCAGAAUAAUGCCUCAGAAGCAGGAUAGAUGAGCUAACUAGCCAGUAAGAGUGAGAACAAUGCUGACAGGAGCCUGAUAUAGCUGCUUCCUGAGAGGCUCUGCCAGUGCCUGGCAAAUACAGAAGUGGAUGCUCACAGUCAUCCAUUGGACGGAGCACAGGGUCCCCAAUGAAGGUGCUAGAGAAAGUACCCAAGGAGCUGAAGGGGUUUGCAGCCCCAUAGGAGUAACAUCAAUAUGAACUAACCAGUACCCCAAGAGCUCCCUGGGACUAAACCACCAACCAAAGAAAACACAUGGUGGGACUCGUGUCUGUAGCUGCAUAUGUAGCAGAGGAUGGCCUAGUUGGUCAUCAAUGGGAGGAGAGGCCCUUGGUCUUCUAAAGGUUCUAUGUCCGAGUAUAGGGGAAUGCCAGGGCCAGGAAGCAGGAGUGGGUGGGUUGGGGAGCAGGGGAAGGGGGGGAGGAGAUAAGGGAUAUUUGGAGAGGAAACUAGUAAAGGGGAUUAUAUUUGAAAUGUAAAUAAAGAAAAUAUCUAAUUUUUAAAAAGAUAUGAUUUAUACUAUGC